AUUGUUUUGUGGCUCAUAAGCAAAAUGAUUGGGUUUUCAAGCUCCUAUGUGAGAUGUGCCUCCGUUGAACCUUGUUACAACAUAGGCCCAUCAUAACUGACA
ensembl:snoRNA